AUUUUAUGAUGAUUAAACUUAAUCACCAUCUUUCGACUGAUUAGUCGUGAUUGUUAAUAUAGUUAGUAACUGAUUCAACGU